GGCCGACUAGCUCAGCUGGUUAGAGCGUCGUGCUAAUACUUGACUGCAAAGCUUCCAGUUCUGGCAGUGGCGCAGUUCGGGUACACGCGAAGGUCUUGGGUUCGAUCCCCACGUUGGCCA